AGAACGAACGCUGGCGGCGUGCCUAACACAUGCAAGUCGUACGAGAACUCUUUAGCUUGCUAAAGAUAGUAAAGUGGCGCACGGGUGAGUAACGCGUGGGUAAUCUACCUCUGAAUUUGGGAUAACUCCGCGAAAGCGGGGCUAAUACCGGAUAAUAUUUCAGGAUCUUCGGGUCUUGAAAUCAAAAGUGGCCUCUACAUGUAAGCUACUGUUUGGAGAUGAGCCCGCGUACCAUUAGCUUGUUGGUAGGGUAAUGGCCUACCAAGGCUACGAUGGUUAGCUGGUCUGAGAGGAUGAUCAGCCACACUGGAACUGACACACGGUCCAGACUCCUACGGGAGGCAGCAGUGGGGAAUUUUGCGCAAUGGGGAAGACCCUGACGCAGCAACGCCGCGUGAGUGAUGAAGGCUUUCGAGUCGUAAAGCUCUGUCAAGUGGGAAGAACAUGAUAAAUGUUAAUAUCAUUUUUCACUGACGGUACCACUAAAGGAAGCACCGGCUAACUCCGUGCCAGCAGCCGCGGUAAUACGGAGGGUGCAAGCGUUAUUCGGAAUUAUUGGGCGUAAAGGGCGCGUAGGCGGUCUUUUCAGUCAGAUGUGAAAGCCCGGGGCUUAACCCCGGAAGUGCAUUUGAAACUAAAGGACUUGAGUAUGGGAGAGGGAAGUGGAAUUCCUGGUGUAGAGGUGAAAUUCGUAGAUAUCAGGAGGAACACCGGUGGCGAAGGCGACUUCCUGGACCAAUACUGACGCUGAGGCGCGAAGGCGUGGGGAGCAA
rnacentral:rRNA from 1 species